rnacentral:rRNA from 1 species
AUUGAACGUUGGCGGCAGGCCUAAAACAUGCAGGUCGAACGGUAACAGCGGAAGCUUGCUUCCGGCUGACGAGUGGCGGACGGGUGAGUAACACGUAGGAAUCUACCUAGUAGUGGGGGACAACCCGGGGAAACCCGGGCUAAUACCGCAUACGCUCUACGGAGGAAAGCAGGGGAUCUUCGGACCUUGCGCUAUUGGAGGAGCCUGCGUCGGAUUAGCUAGUUGGUGGGGUAAAGGCCUACCAAGGCGACGAUCCGUAGCUGGUCUGAGAGGACGAUCAGCCACACUGGAACUGAGACACGGUCCAGACUCCUACGGGAGGCAGCAGUUAGGAAUCUUGGGCAAUGGGCGCAAGCCUGACCCAGCCAUGCCGCGUGUGUGAAGAAGGCCUUCGGGUUGUAAAGCACUUUCAGCGGUGAAGAAAAGCUUAGGGCUAAUAUCCUUGAGUCUUGACGUUAACCACAGAAGAAGCACCGGCUAACUCCGUGCCAGCCGCCGCCGUAAUAC